UAAGGAAUAUUGGUCAAUGGACGCAAGUCUGAACCAGCCAUGCCGCGUGAAGGAUGAAGGUCCUCUGGAUUGUAAACUUCUUUUAUCUGGGACGAAAACGGGAUUUUUAUCUCAAUUGACGGUACCAGAGGAAUAAGCACCGGCUAACUCCGUGCCAGCAGCCGCGGUAAUACGGAGGGUGCGAGCGUUAUCCGGAUUUACUGGGUUUAAGGGUGCGUAGGUGGGCUUAUAAGUCAGUGGUGAAAUCUCCGAGCUGAACUUGGAAACUGCCGAUGAUACUAUAGGUCUUGAAUUAUCUGGAGGUAAGCAGAAUAUGUCAUGUAGCGGUGAAAUGCUUAGAUAUGACAUAGAACACCAAUUGCGAAGGCAGCUUAUUACAUAUAAAUUGACGCUGAGGCACGAAAGCGUGGGGAUCAAACA
rnacentral:rRNA from 1 species